GCAAUUAAAAUAAAGCAGGCAGCCAAAAUUUCGCGUUGAAAUACCUUUUCUUUCUUGCACAAUAGCAGCCGUAAACUCUCACCACAACUAUGCGCUUGCAUGCAAUAUUUCCACUCUAAACAAAGCACACUUCAAAGUUAAAUUUCAAAACUAUUGUUGAAGCAUAGAUAAAGGAAUUUUGUGCUGCAAUUCUACACUUCAAGGCUGUUGAGUCAACAGAAGCCCUCCCCUCAAUGUCUGAAUUGAAAAUUUCAGCCACCCAAGGCCAAGUGGCCUUGUACAUGAACUACAACAACAGGUGAACAAUUUGGUGGAACUUGUCCGGUCCAAAAACUAAGAACUAAGUUUAGAGAGGUAAGAACGGAGCUGGAAGAGUCGUCACAAGUAGAAGUUGAUGGCAUUUGUGACAUUUUAAAGGACCCUAUAACAGGAGUGAACACUUAAUACAACCAUUGCAUGUGUACUACACACAUUUCUAUGUAGUUUCUUCUGACUUUAAGAUUGCAUUAUGUGUUUACAGUAUUCUGACAAUAAUAAUUUUUUCAAAGUUA